UGGCGGACGGGUGAGUAAUGUCUGGGAAACUGCCCGAUGGAGGGGGAUAACUACUGGAAACGGUAGCUAAUACCGCAUAAUGUCUACGGACCAAAGCGGGGGACCUCCGGGCCUCGCGCCAUCAGAUGAACCCAUAUGGGAUUAGCUAGUAGGUGGGGUAACGGCUCACCUAGGCGACGAUCCCUAGCUGGUCUGAGAGGAUGACCAGCCACACUGGGACUGAGACACGGCCCAG
rnacentral:rRNA from 1 species